AGCGUAGGUGGCCUUUCAAGUCAGAUGUGAAAUCUCCUGGCUUAACCAGGAGGGGUCAUUUGAUACUGUUGGGCUAGAGGACAUCAAGGGAAGGUGGAAUUCCGGGUGUAGUGGUGAAAUGCGUAGAUAUCCGGAGGAACACCAGUGGCGAAGGCGGCCUUCUGGGAUGUUUCUGACACUGAGGCUCGAAAGUGUGGGGAGCGAACA
rnacentral:rRNA from 1 species